rnacentral:rRNA from 1 species
GAUGAACGCUGGCGGCGUGCCUAAUACAUGCAAGUCGAGCGAACAGACGAGGAGCUUGCUCCUCUGACGUUAGCGGCGGACGGGUGAGUAACACGUGGAUAACCUACCUAUAAGACUGGGAUAACUUCGGGAAACCGGAGCUAAUACCGGAUAAUAUAUUGAACCGCAUGGUUCAAUAGUGAAAGACGGUUUUGCUGUCACUUAUAGAUGGAUCCGCGCCGCAUUAGCUAGUUGGUAAGGUAACGGCUUACCAAGGCAACGAUGCGUAGCCGACCUGAGAGGGUGAUCGGCCACACCGGAACUGAGACACGGUCCAGACUCCUACGGGAGGCAGCAGUAGGGAAUCUUCCGCAAUGGGCGAAAGCUUGACGGAGCAACGCCGCGUGAGUGAUGAGGUCUUCGGAUCGUAAAACUCUGUUAUUAGGGAAGAACAAAUGUGUAAGUAACUAUGCACGUCUUGACGGUACCUAAUCAGAAAGCCACGGCUAACUACGUG